rnacentral:rRNA from 1 species
UACGGGGGGGGCAAGCGUUGUUCGGAAUUACUGGGCGUAAAGGGCUCGUAGGCGGCCAACUAAGUCAGACGUGAAAUCCCUCGGCUUAACCGGGGAACUGCAUCUGAUACUGGAUGGCUUGAGUUCGGGAGAGGGAUGCGGAAUUCCAGGUGUAGCGGUGAAAUGCGUUGAUAUCAUCAGGAACACCGGAGGCGAAGGCGGCUCACUGGGGGUCUUCUGACGCUGAGGAACGAAAGCCAGGGGAGCGAACGGG